rnacentral:lncRNA from 1 species
GUGGCCACCAAGGGGCCGGGCCCUGCACAGCGCCCUGGGGAAGCUGGUUUGAAAGCUCUGGAGCGACCCCAAUGCCGGAUGAGAAAGCUGAGACUCAGAGAAAUUAAGAAACUCAUAUGAGGUCAUGUUGUAGGUAAGUUAGUUUUUGCUGCAUCAUAAACCACCCAACUAUUUAUGAUUUCAAACAGGUAAUACUUGUUUCUCAACAACUGGUUGGGGGCUGGAUGGCCAAGGGGCCUCAUAUUUUAGGGACAGGAGGAGCUCAUCGUCAGCUGGGUGAUGGGGAUGCGACUGCAAGUCUCAUCCAGGAGAGCUUGAACAUAGGGGUUGAGUUGCAAAAGCAGCAUAAGGGCAGCAACACAAGAACUUUCCAUGUCUCACUUAUGUCAUAUUUGCUAUUCUCCCAUUGGCCAAAGCAGGUCACAAAGGCAUGGCCAGCCGGUAUGGAAGGGGACAACCAAAGGGGUGGACACAGGGAGUGAGAAUUGCUGCUAUUUUCCCCAACAAAGAAUCUACCAUCCAUAGCUUCUAAGUGUACAACUGGAAAUCAAAACUAAGUUUGUCUUACUUGAAAGUUCAAAACUGUCUUACAGCUACUGCCUGGGGUCUAGGAAUCCAGAACAUUCCACACAUUGCCUAAGUCAACAACCUGUUGCACACACACACCUGCAACUGUUUUGCAAAAAUAUUUACGUAAUUUCGAAGCAGCUCUUCACAAAAUAUUCAUCAGUUACAGAAGGAAGUCACUUCACAGUGGAAAAAUCUGGCAGGUGCCACCUUAAUCAAGUAACCAAAAUGAACAUCAUCAGUAAUAGGACAAAUUGCAAUCGUGUGCCUCCUGAUAGUCUAGCAAGAAGAACACAGCAUCACUUCUAUGAUGCUCCUGCCAAUAAUAUAUAAUUGGAAUCUAAUCCUAAAGCAACAAAUUCAAAUUAAGGAAAAUUCUACAAAAUAAUUGGCCUGUAAUAGAAGUGUUAAAGGUCAUGAAAGUUAAGGAAAGACUGAAGAACUGUUCCAGACUGAAGAUGAAAGAGAUGUGAGAAAUAAGUGCAGUGGUGAUUCUGAACUGGAUCCUGACUUGGCAAAACUUGAAUAGGUCUGUUGGUUGGAUGGUAGAAAUAUAGUAAUGUUGAUUUCCUGAUUUUUGCUAGCUAUAUUACAAUUUUAUUGGAUUCAGUCCUUGUUUACAGAAGACACACAGUAUGUAGGGGUUAUAAGAAGUCAGCUCAGGAACUUUCAAAUCAUUUAGCAAAACAAAAGUUCUUCGUACUUUAAUUCCAAGACUUCUAUAAAUUUGAGAUUAUUUUUAAAAUACUUAAAAAAAACUCCUUUAAAGUCUCUCAACAUGCUGUCCUAUUAAUAAUAGAUUUCUAAAUUUUUUAUUUUUAUCAACGUUUUGUGUGCCCAUAGUUUGAAGUAUUAAAUUGUUUUUAUUUAUUAAGG